GAAUAAGAUAUGGAUGUGAUCCUCCUGAUCUCCAGGUAGAUUGGGAUGAUCUGGCUGGGUGAGUGAUUGUCUGCUUCCUUCCCUCUCCACGUUGUUUUGUUCCUGAAGAUGCAUGAUGAGUUGAAGAAGACAGCUUUGAGAAAUAGAAAUAGAGGAGAACCCAUCUUUCAUGAAGAGUGUUAAGUAGCUGUGUUCCCCUGUCAGAACACCCAAGCAAGUUUAUAUUAAUUCUUUGUUAUUAUUUUUUUUAACUGUGUGGUCAUAGGACUACCAGAGCUGACUCACCUUGUCCACCUUGUGAGUCCUUGUGACUGAACUUGGCUUGUCAG
rnacentral:snRNA from 1 species